rnacentral:rRNA from 1 species
CGGACGGGUGAGUAAUGUCUGGGAAACUGCCCGAUGGAGGGGGAUAACUACUGGAAACGGUAGCUAAUACCGCAUAACGUCGCUAGACCAAAGAGGGGGACCUUCGGGCCUCUUGCCAUCGGAUGUGCCCAGAUGGGAUUAGCUAGUAGGUGGGGUAAUGGCUCACCUAGGCGACGAUCCCUAGCUGGUCUGAGAGGAUGACCAGCCACACUGGAACUGAGACACGGUCCAG